UUCUCUCCUAGAGAAGCGAGCGGUUGGAGUAGAUCUGGGGUCUUAUGUAAAAUGGAAAUAGCGAGUUGAACAAAGCCUAAUUUUAAGAAAUUAUUUUUAAUCUUAGACAGAACUACAGUUGGAGGGAAAAAAUGUGCCAGCACUCGCGGUCAUACAUUUGUCCUAUCCAACCCAAAACUAGUACCAGAAGGGCUGUUAGUAAGUGGGUUGGGGUAGAGAGAGGCUGUGAGGUGAAAUUCCAGUUCUAUCUAUUUUAUACAAACCCUAAAGGCUUCCCUUCAUCAGCUCCACCACAAGACCAGGAUUAGAUACCCUGCUAUUGGGAGGGAAAAAUGGAGUUAGGGAGUAGGUCAUUGACUGAAAACCAUCUAGGAUGGCGGUUUUUUUUAUUAUUAGAUAAAUGUGUUUUUAAAACGAAAAUACACGACUAUCUUUCUUACCUUUGAAAAAUUCAUCCUGUACACCGCCGUCUGAAGAGUCAGCUUUAAUAGCUAGCCCUGUUACUCCCAUAUCAGUAAUAAGUCAGGUAAGGUGCAGACUAUGGGUAAGAAGAAAUGCAUUUCACUACACGUCGAGAGAAUUGGUUGAAAGCCAUUUUCAAGAAGAAUUUAAUAGUAAGAUUUUUUUAUCAUAAAAACCUGAACUAAUUUCAAAAAAAUGUACAAAUCGCCCGUCAACCCAAUAAAGGGAAAGUCGUAACAAAGUUGUUCUACUGGAAAGUAGAGCAGGGAUUAA
rnacentral:ncRNA from 1 species